rnacentral:lncRNA from 1 species
CCUUGGGGACAUUUCGGGUGGCGCUGGUGGCACCUCCCCUGUCCGUGGGGACCCCCCCGUGGCCGCCCCCUGUCCCCUUCUGUCCCCCCCCCGGCCCAAAGGGGACACUUGGUGGCCCCACGGGGAUGUCCGAAAGGGGACGCCCAAAGGGGGCGGCACUGGUGGCACCGCUGGUGGCACUGGUGGCACCUCUUGUCCCCACGGGGCCAUCUCCAGUGCCACCAGUGCCACCUCUCCAGUCACUGGUGUCUCUUCUUGUCCCCAGGGUGCCACCUCUGGUGUCCCUGCUGCCACUUCUGGUGCCACUGGUGUUACUGGUGUCACUGGGGACCGGUCUCGUGCCACUGGUGUCCGUCCUUGUCCCCACGGGGCCAUCUCCAAUGUCACCGCUGUCACCUCCUGUGCCACUGGUGCCACCUCCCGUGUCACUGGUGUUACUGGUGCCACUGGUGUCACUGGUUCCACUGGUGUUACUGGUGUUACUGGUGACCGGUCUCGUGUCCCCAGUGUCCGUCCUUGUCCCCAUGGGGCCAUCUCCAGUGCCCCCAGUGCCACCUCUUGUGCUACUGGUGCCACCUCCCAUGUCACUGGUGUCACUGGUGUCACUGGUUCCACUGCUGUCACUGGUUCCACUGGUUCCACUGGUGUUACUGGUGCCACUGGUGCCCGGUCUUGUGCCCCCAGUGCCCGUCCUUGUCCCCACGGGGCCAUUU